CCUGGCUCCGUUUGAGCGCUAGCUACAGGCUUAACACAUGCAAGUCGAGGGGCAGCAUGGUCUUAGCUUGCUAAGGCCGAUGGCGACCGGCGCACGGGUGAGUAACACGUAUCCAACCUGCCGUCUACUCUUGGACAGCCUUCUGAAAGGAAGAUUAAUACAAGAUGGCAUCAUGAGUCCGCAUGUUCACAUGAUUAAAGGUAUUCCGGUAGACGAUGGGGAUGCGUUCCAUUAGAUAGUAGGCGGGGUAACGGCCCACCUAGUCUUCGAUGGAUAGGGGUUCUGAGAGGAAGGUCCCCCACAUUGGAACUGAGACACGGUCCAAACUCCUACGGGAGGCAGCAGUGAGGAAUAUUGGUCAAUGGGCGAGAGCCUGAACCAGCCAAGUAGCGUGAAGGAUGACUGCCCUAUGGGUUGUAAACUUCUUUUAUAAAGGAAUAAAGUCGGGUAUGGAUACCCGUUUGCAUGUACUUUAUGAAUAAGGAUCGGCUAACUCCGUGCCAGCAGCCGCGGUAAUACGGAGGAUCCGAGCGUUAUCCGGAUUUAUUGGGUUUAAAGGGAGCGUAGAUGGAUGUUUAAGUCAGUUGUGAAAGUUUGCGGCUCAACCGUAAAAUUGCAGUUGAUACUGGAUAUCUUGAGUGCAGUUGAGGCAGGCGGAAUUCGUGGUGUAGCGGUAAAAUGCUUAGAUAUCACGAAGAACUCCGAUUGCGAAGGCAGCCUGCUAAGCUGCAACUGACAUUGAGGCUCGAAAGUGUGGGUAUCAAACAGGAUUAGAUACCCUGGUAGUCCACACGGUAAACGAUGAAUACUCGCUGUUUGCGAAUUACAGCAAGCGGCCAAGCGAAAGCGUUAAGUAUUCCACCUGGGGAGUACGCCGGCAACGGUGAAACUCAAAGGAAUUGACGGGGGCCCGCACAAGCGGAGGAACAUGUGGUUUAAUUCGAUGAUACGCGAGGAACCUUACCCGGGCUUAAAUNGCAGAUGAAUUACGGUGAAAGCCGUAAGCCGCAAGGCAUCUGUGAAGGUGCUGCAUGGUUGUCGUCAGCUCGUGCCGUGAGGUGUCGGCUUAAGUGCCAUAACGAGCGCAACCCUUGUUGUCAGUUACUAACAGGUUCCGCUGAGGACUCUGACAAGACUGCCAUCGUAAGAUGUGAGGAAGGUGGGGAUGACGUCAAAUCAGCACGGCCCUUACGUCCGGGGCUACACACGUGUUACAAUGGGGGGUACAGAGGGCCGCUACCACGCGAGUGGAUGCCAAUCCCAAAAACCUCUCUCAGUUCGGACUGGAGUCUGCAACCCGACUCCACGAAGCUGGAUUCGCUAGUAAUCGCGCAUCAGCCACGGCGCGGUGAAUACGUUCCCGGGCCUUGCACACACCGCCC
rnacentral:rRNA from 1 species